GAUAAACGCUGGCGGCGCACAUAAGACAUGCAAGUCGAACGGACUUAACCAUUAGUUUACUAUUGGAGCGGUUAGUGGCGGACUGGUGAGUAACACGUAAGCAACCUGCCUAUCAGAGGGGAACAACAGUUAGAAAUGACUGCUAAUACCGCAUAUGCCUAAGUACCACAUGGUACAAUAGGGAAAGAAGCAAUUCGCUGAUAGAUGGGCUUGCGUCUGAUUAGCUAGUUGGUGGGGUAACGGCCUACCAAGGCGACGAUCAGUAGCCGACCUGAGAGGGUGACGGGCCACAUUGGGACUGAGACACGGCCCAA
rnacentral:rRNA from 1 species